UUUGUUGUAAUUCAUGAUC
rnacentral:snRNA from 1 species